rnacentral:rRNA from 1 species
UACGUAGGUGGCAAGCGUUGUCCGGAAUUACUGGGCGUAAAGAGCGCGCAGGCGGCUGGUCAAGUCCGAUGUGAAAGCUUCCGGCUUAACUGGGAAAUUGCAUCGGAAACUGAUCGGCUUGAAGGUGGGAGAGGGUAGUGGAAUUCCCGGUGUAGUGGUGAAAUGCGUAGAUAUCGGGAGGAACACCAGUGGCGAAGGCGGCUUUCUGGGCCCUACCUGACGCUGAGACGCGAAAGCGUGGGGAGCGAACCGG